rnacentral:rRNA from 1 species
UACGAAGGGUGCAAACGUUGCUCGGAAUUAUUGGGCGUAAAGAGCUCGUAGGCGGUUUGUCGCGUCUGCUGUGAAAACCCGAGGCUCAACCUCGGGCCUGCAGUGGGUACGGGCAGACUAGAGUGCGGUAGGGGAGAUUGGAAUUCCUGGUGUAGCGGUGGAAUGCGCAGAUAUCAGGAGGAACACCAAUGGCGAAGGCAGAUCUCUGGGCAGUAACUGACGCUGAGGAGCGAAAGCGUGGGUAGCGAACAGG